rnacentral:lncRNA from 1 species
GCUAGUUGCUUUCAUUCAGCGAUCUCCGCCGCCAUCUCCAGCCUUUAGCGUCGUUGAUGUUUAUUCCAUCGAUGAAGUGUUUCACUGAUUCAUGGGUUCACCCUACUGGAGUGUGUUGCUACGAGAUUGGGAGCCAAAAAGGAACCAUGGCCACCACCGUGAGGUGGUGGCUGUCAGUGUGAAUCAAUUGUUGUCGCCACCGUAUGCCACUAAGGGGAGGUGGCUGAGUUCGUUUUGCAAGCAGAAAUUGUAUGUGUGUGUGUUUUUAUUGCAGUUUAGUGGUGUUUGGGUGUUUAGUCUAGCCGGAUAUAGCAAGGAAGNUGUAUGUGUGUGUGUUUAUUGCAGUUUAGUGGUGUUUGGGUGUUUAGUCUAGCCGGAUAUAGCAAGGAAGCCACUACCACCACCAUGAGGUGGUGGCUGCCGCCAAGCGCCACCGUCGGCCACCAUGGUGUGGUUGGGUGUGUGUGUAUUAGUUAGUGUGUGUAUUUUGGAUUAAAGCCUUGUAAUUGUAAUUAGCAAAUUGAAUAAUGAAAAGAAUCAUAACCACCACCAUAAGGUGGUGGCCGCCGCCUCGAACCGCCAUUGACCACUACCCGAGGUGGUGGUGGGUGGUGCCCUGCUAGCAAACCCUAAUGGGCUUAGAGAUUGGUUUUGGGCCUAUUGGGCCAUGUUUGGGUGGAAAACCAUAAUUAUGAGUAUUGGGCCUUAGACUAAUUGGGCCACUUGUGGGCCAUUGGGAUUGGAUUGUGAAUUAAGCCCAAACUAUUCCAUGCCAUUUAUCUAGUAGAUUAAAGGACUUAAUGGAUUAAGUCCUUAAUGGGCUAAUUGAGAAAAUACUAAUAUUUGAGAGAUUAUCAGCACACACACGAGAAUUAUUUAAUAAGUGAAUAUUAAAUGAUAAUCAUUGGCAGAAAUUA